rnacentral:tRNA from 1 species
GCCCGGGUGGCUCAGUCGGUUAAGCGUCUGACUUCGGCUCAGGUCGUGAUCUCGCGGUCCGUGAGUUCGAGCCCCGCGUCGGGCU